AACACAUGCAAGUCGAGCGGUAGCACAGGGGAGCUUGCCCCCUGGGUGACGAGCGGCGGACGGGUGAGUAAUGUCUGGGAAACUGCCUGAUGGAGGGGGAUAACUACUGGAAACGGUAGCUAAUACCGCAUAACGUCGCAAGACCAAAGAGGGGGACCUUCGGGCCUCUUGCCAUCAGAUGUGCCCAGAUGGGAUUAGCUAGUAGGUGGGGUAAUGGCUCACCUAGGCGACGAUCCCUAGCUGGUCUGAGAGGAUGACCAGCCACACUGGGACUGAGACACGGUCCAGACUCCUACGGGAGGCAGCAGUGGGGAAUAUUGCACAAUGGGCGCAAGCCUGAUGCAGCCAUGCCGCGUGUCUCAAGAAGGCCUUCGGGUUGUAAAGCACUUUCAGCGAGGAGGAAGGUGGUGAGCUUAAUACGCUCAUCAAUUGACGUUACUCGCAGAAGAAGCACCGGCUAACUCCGUGCCAGCAGCCGCGGUAAUACGGAGGGUGCAAGCGUUAAUCGGAAUUACUGGGCGUAAAGCGCACGCAGGCGGUUUGUUAAGUCAGAUGUGAAAUCCCCGGGCUCAACCUGGGAACUGCAUUUGAAACUGGCAAGCUAGAGUCUCGUAGAGGGGGGGUAGAAUUCCAGGUGUAGCGGUGAAAUGCGUAGAGAUCUGGAGGAAUACCGGUGGCGAAGGCGGCCCCCUGGACGAAGACUGACGCUCAGGUGCGAAAGCGUGGGGAGCAAACAGGGUUAGAUACCC
rnacentral:rRNA from 1 species